UACGUAGGUGACCAGCGUUGUCCGGAUUUACUGGGCGUAAAGAGCGCGCAGGCGGUCGUUCAAGUCGAGUGUGAAAGCCCCCGGCUCAACUGGGGAGGGUCACUUGAUACUGAUCGACUCGAAGGCAGGAGAGGGAAGCGGAAUUCCCGGUGUAGUGGUGAAAUGCGUAGAUAUCGGGAGGAACACCAGUGGCGAAGGCGGCUUCCUGGCCUGUUCUUGACGCUGAGGCGCGAAAGCUAGGGGAGCAAACGGG
rnacentral:rRNA from 1 species